UACGUAGGGGGCAAGCGUUGUCCGGAAUCAUUGGGCGUAAAGCGCGUGUAGGCGGCUCAAUAAGUCUGCUGUGAAAGUCCAGGGCUCAACCCUGGGAUGCCGGUGGAUACUGUCGAGCUCGAGUCCGGAAGAGGCGAGUGGAAUUCCUAGUGUAGCGGUGAAAUGCGCAGAUAUCAGGAGGAACACCAAUGGCGAAGGCAGCUCGCUGGGACGUGACUGACGCUGAGACGCGAAAGCGUGGGGAGCAAACAGG
rnacentral:rRNA from 1 species